CUCUUUAUUUUUUUUUUUUCAUUUUCCCCCUUCUCUUUCACUCUCUUCUCUCUCCCUCUCCUCUCUCUACCAUCCCCUACCCGACUGCGCCACCCCCUCCUUAGACGGUCAACGCCGCAGCCACCGCGGUUUCCGACCAGCAAGAGUCGCCACCAGACGCCGCCAGCUCAGAUGUCAUGUAACCUUCUAUCCAAGUGAUAAAGGUUUUGUGAAAUCUUCUAAGAUGUUAAUGGGUUAAAGGAUUGGGAUUGGUCUGGAUGCCACCUUUAUACCCGUCGGCCCUUGAAAGCAUAGAUGCUACUGAUGAUGGCGCAGUUGAUCCUAAGGAGUAUGAAGCAUCAAGUUGCUCAGCUAACAAGAACACUUAAUUCUCGGAGGCUAGGAUGUUGGGUAUGCAAGCCCAAAUUAAUAGUUUAUGAUGGAUAUGUUUAAAUGGAUAUGUAUAUUAUCUUUAAGGGUUUGAAUGUAUUUUAGUUCGAAUUAGAAGUACUUUUAAGUUUAUAAUGUUUAAGUGCUUGAAUGAUGUUUAAGUGUUUGAAUGUAGUUUAUAAUGUUUAAGUGUUUGAAUGUAGUUUUAAUUUUAAGUACUUUGAGAUUGAAUUUGAUUGUUUAUAAGUGUUUGAAUGGACAAUGUUUAAGUGUUCAAGUGUUUGAACAUUGUU